rnacentral:pre_miRNA from 1 species
CAUGCACCGGUGGGGUCCCUCGGCCUGGCCUGUGCCCUCUCGCAAUCCAGGACCCUUUGGGGGAUGUCAGAGAGUUGGUUUCGACCUGAUCGCCGCAGGCCAGGCCAAGGGACCCCACCGGUGCAUG